UACGGGGGGAGCAAGCGUUGUUCGGAUUUACUGGGCGUAAAGGGCGCGUAGGCGGUCAGCACAAGUCAGUUGUGAAAUCCCCGGGCUUAACCUGGGAACUGCAUUGGUGACUGGCAGGCUUUGAGUGUGGCAGAGGGAGGUAGAAUUCCACGUGUAAGCAGUGAAAUGCGUAGAGAUGUGGAGGAAUACCGAUGGCGAAGGCAGCCUCCUGGGCCAACACUGACGCUCAUGCACGAAAGCGUGGGGAGCAAACAGG
rnacentral:rRNA from 1 species